rnacentral:lncRNA from 1 species
UGGGCUCAAAUGAGAGAGGCCCAAGUCCAAAAUUUUUCUGUUAUAUUUUAUUUAUUUAUUUAUUUAUUUAUUUCGUUUUUUUAUUUCGUUUUUGGUUUUUCGUUUUUUUUCUUUUUUUCGUUUUUUGUUCUUAUUUUUUUUUAUUUUUUUUUAAACACGUGGGCUUCGCCUAGCGAGCAUGACAGUUCAAGAAAUUCCUCUGAGCGUAGGUGAUUCUGGUGGCUUUUCUUGGGACCUGCUAGGCGACCCA